CGCCUGUUUAUCAAAAACAUAGUUUAGUGAAUAUAAAUACUAAAUUAAUUCUGCCCAGUGUACACAUUAUAAAUGGCCGCAGUACCCUGACUGUGCUAAGGUAGCAUAAUCAAUUGGCUUUUAAUUGAAGUCUGGAAUGAAAGAAUAAAUGAAGUUAUUCUCUCUUAAAAGUACUAUUAAAAAGUUAUUCAUUAGGUGAAAAUACCUAAAUUUAAAUAAAAGACGAGAAGACCCUAAGAGUUUUUAAUAAAAAUAAUGUAUAUUAUUUAUUUUUUUGUUGGGGCGACAGUUUAGCAUUUUAAACCUAAUUUUUGUACAAGGCGAUUAUUUUAAGAAAGAAAAAACUACCUUAGGGAUAACAGCAUAAUUUUUAAAAAAGUUUGUGACCUCGAUGUUGGACUAGGAACUUUAUGGCUAGCAGUCAAAAAAGAUUUAUUCUGUUCGAAUAAUUUUAUCCUACGUGAUCUGAGUUCAGACCGGG
rnacentral:rRNA from 1 species